rnacentral:rRNA from 1 species
UGAAAGCCUGGGGUGCCCCGCGAGGGAGCCCUAGCACAGGUGCUGCAUGGCCGUCGUCAGCUCGUGCCGUGAGGUGUUGGGUUAAGUCCCGCAACGAGCGCAACCCCGCCGUUAGUUGCCAGCGGUUCGGCCGGGCACUCUAACGGGACUGCCCGCGAAAAGCGGGAGGAAGAGGGGACGACGUCUGGUCAGCAUGGCCCUUACGGCCUGGGCGACACACGUGCUACAAUGCCCACUACAAAGCGAGGCCACCCGGCAACGGGGAGUUAAUCGCAAAAAGGUGGGCCCAGUUCGGAUUGGGGUCUGCAACCCGACCCCAUGAAGCCGGAAUCGCUAGUAAUCGCGGAUCAGCCAUGCCGCGGUGAAUACGUUCCCGGGCCUU